AGAGAGGCUUGGAGGUUGAAAGUUAGGGUUCUAAGGCUUUGGGUUGUACCCUUUUUUGGGAAUCAUGAGGUUCCUAACUCAAUGGAGAUGAUUCUCCUUGAUGAGCAUGUUAGCCCCUAUUAGCUUCUCUUUUAAAUAUGGUGUUACUUGUUGUUUUUUAAGUUUUCAACUUUAAAUUAUGUGUUUCACUAAUUUGAUUUUGUUCUUUUGUUGGAUUUCCAGUGUGGAAAAAUUCAAGCUACAGUUAAGAAACCACUCCUUAAUAGGUUUAGGGAUCAUAUAGUUGAAGGUCAAGUUUAUAGAAUGGCAUACUUUACUGUUGUGUCAAAUCAUGGUAGUUAUAGAGCAACUUCUCAUGAAUUCAAAUUGGUUUUCCUUCACCGAACCACUGUUGUAGCUGUUGAUGAAGAUAUUAUCCCUAAGACUUGUUUCAACAUGUUUCCUUUUUCUGAGCUGCUGAACAUGACCCAAGAUUAUGAUUUUUUAGUUGGUGUGUCUAUCUUCUUGGUCUGCUGUUAUUCAAAUUUUUUUAACAAAUGCUUUGAAUAUUUAAUAGGUUGUGUUUAUUUGGAAUAGGUGUCAUUGGUCUUUUAACUUCAGUGGGAGAAGAGAAAGAAUAUGCAAAAGAGGGGAAAAUUGUGAAAAUGAUUGUGCUUGAAUUAACUUUAAAAGAGUAUGUUGAUUGAGUCAUUUCUCCUGGUUUGUGAUUAUUUUUUAAUCAUCUUUUUUCCUAAUUUUCUGUUUCAUUCUUUGUCAUGUUUUGAGUUUUAGUCUUACAGUGAGAUGUGCAUUGUUUGGGGACUAUGUUAAUCAAGUAAAUCAUUUUCUUGCCUCUGGCUAUGUGGAGCAGCCUGUUGUAGUCAUUCAACUUGCAAAAGUCAAGUUCUUUAGGGGUCAAGUAGGCCUUCAAAAUGUGAUGUAUGCCACUCAAAUAUUAUUUAAUCCUGAUCUUCCUGAAGUUGUUGAAUUUAGGCAGAGUAUGGUUGAGCAAGGUGCAAUGGUACCCAGCCACUGUUUAUUGCAAAUGAGGGUAAAGUUGUCUCCUUGGAAGAUGAUUUCAUACGUUUAACUAGAAAAUGUACUAUUGAAGAGCUUCAAGAUAACAAUCAGGUUGUCUUCUUUUGAGUUAGUUGUGUUUAGUUUAUUUUAUACACAAAUGAACUGAAAAUAAGUCAAAUCAAAGAACAAUUUCCAGAUCUGUUUUUUCAUUCAUAUUGUUAACAAAUUUUGAAAUGCCGAUUGCAUAGGAGGGUUCUUUUAUCAUUUUUGGUACAAUCCAAGGUAUUGUUGAGGAUAGAGGUUGGUGGUAUUCUGCUUGUGUGUGUGGAAAGGGUAUCUAUCCUCAAAAUGGUGCAUAUUACUGUGAUUUUUGUUUGAAGCACAUAACUAAUGUGACUCCAAGAUUUAAAAUUAAAAUAACAGUUGAAGAUCAUAGUGGGGAGGGUAUUUUCCUUCUCUUUGAUCGUGAGGCAUCUUAUUUGCUUAAGAAAUCAUGUGCUAACUUGUUUAUUGAGGUUCAAAGAGAUGCGAGUCUUGUAUGUGGGGAUACUUAUCCUCCCAUAUUCCAAGGGCUCAUUGGAAAGAAGUUACUGCUGAAGGUUGAUACCAAAGGUGUCCCACAUGAUACAUUUUAUCGCACUUUCCGAGUUAGGAGAAUAUGUGAUGAUCCCACCAUUAUUGCCAUGUUUGAACUUCCCAAUUAUGAUGCUGAUGACGAGUCUACUCCAAAAAAGGUUACAUAUACAUAUAAUUAUUUUUAAAUUGUGUAAAUUCAUGUUUUGUUCCUUUUUUUUAUUGUGCUGUCGUAAAUUUUUCUUAUGGUCUUAUGUAUUUUUAAACUUUUAUGCCAUAUGAAUAGGAGCCUGAUUUACCCAAAUCUGUUCCUUGUG